UAUCUCUUUUAAAUUUUUUUUAAUCUUUCUGCUUGGAAGGCAACUGUACUGUGAUACUCAAGAGAU
rnacentral:tRNA from 1 species